rnacentral:rRNA from 2 species
UGGCUCAGGACGAACGCUGGCGGCGUGCCUAAUACAUGCAAGUCGAACGAGUUCUCGUUGAUGAUCGGUGCUUGCACCGAGAUUCAACAUGGAACGAGUGGCGGACGGGUGAGUAACACGUGGGUAACCUGCCCUUAAGUGGGGGAUAACAUUUGGAAACAGAUGCUAAUACCGCAUAGAUCCAAGAACCGCAUGGUUCUUGGCUGAAAGAUGGCGUAAGCUAUCGCUUUUGGAUGGACCCGCGGCGUAUUAGCUAGUUGGUGAGGUAAUGGCUCACCAAGGCGAUGAUACGUAGCCGAACUGAGAGGUUGAUCGGCCACAUUGGGACUGAGACACGGCCCA